rnacentral:rRNA from 1 species
UUCGCCCUUAGAGUUUGAUCCUGGCUCAGGACGAACGCUGGCGGCGCGCCUAACACAUGCAAGUCGAACGAGCGAGAGAGAGCUUGCUUUCUCAAGCGAGUGGCGAACGGGUGAGUAACGCGUGAGGAACCUGCCUCAGAGGGGGGCAACAGUUGGAAACGACUGCUAAUACCGCAUAAGCCCACGACCCGGCAUCGGGUAGAGGGAAAAGGAGCAAUCCGCUUUGAGAUGGCCUCGCGUCCGAUUAGCUAGUUGGUGAGGUAAUGGCCCACCAAGGCGACGAUCGGUAGCCGGACUGAGAGGUUGAACGGCCACAUUGGGACUGAGACACGGCCCAGACUCCUACGGGAGGCAGCAGUGGGGAAUAUUGCACAAUGGGGGAAACCCUGAUGCAGCGACGCCGCGUGGAGGAAGAAGGUCUUCGGAUUGUAAACUCCUGUUGUUGAGGAAGAUAAUGACGGUACUCAACAAGGAAGUGACGGCUAACUACGUGCCAGCAGCCGCGGUAAAACGUAGGUCACAAGCGUUGUCCGGAAUUACUGGGUGUAAAGGGAGCGCAGGCGGGAAGACAAGUUGGAAGUGAAAUCCAUGGGCUCAACCCAUGAACUGCUUUCAAAACUGUUUUUCUUGAGUAGUGCAGAGGUAGGCGGAAUUCCCGGUGUAGCGGUGGAAUGCGUAGAUAUCGGGAGGAACACCAGUGGCGAAGGCGGCCUACUGGGCACCAACUGACGCUGAGGCUCGAAAGUGUGGGUAGCAAACAGGAUUAGAUACCCUGGUAGUCCACACUGUAAACGAUGAAUUACUAGGUGUUGGAGGAUUGACCCCUUCAGUGCCGCAGUUAACACAAUAAGUAAUCCACCUGGGGAGUACGACCGCAAGGUUGAAACUCAAAGGAAUUGACGGGGGCCCGCACAAGCAGUGGAGUAUGUGGUUUAAUUCGACGCAACGCGAAGAACCUUACCAAGUCUUGACAUCCUGCGACGGACAUAGAAAUAUGUUUUUCCUUCGGGACGCAGAGACAGGUGGUGCAUGGUUGUCGUCAGCUCGUGUCGUGAGAUGUUGGGUUAAGUCCCGCAACGAGCGCAACCCUUAUGGUCAGUUACUACGCAAGAGGACUCUGGCCAGACUGCCGUUGACAAAACGGAGGAAGGUGGGGAUGACGUCAAAUCAUCAUGCCCUUUAUGACUUGGGCUACACACGUACUACAAUGGCGUUAAACAAAGAGAAGCAAGACCGCGAGGUGGAGCAAAACUCAGAAGCAACGUCCCAGUUCGGACUGCAGGCUGCAACUCGCCUGCACGAAGUCGGAAUUGCUAGUAAUCGCAGAUCAGCAUGCUGCGGUGAAUACGUUCCCGGGCCUUGUACACACCGCCCGUCA